GCUGUUUCCCAUGCGGUGCUUCUCCAAUGAACACCUUCAUGUGAGCUCCGCAAGUUAGACACUUUCAAGAGGAAACGAAAACUCAGGGAUUCUAAGGUAGCUCUAUGCUACCUCCAAGAGCGUCCAGCAGGAGAAUGGGGGAGCCCUGGACAGUCCCCACCUGGCACCCUCCAGACAGAGCUUUGAAGGAAAGGCUUGAAAGCUACAAGGAAUAUGAGAUGCAAUUAGACCCGGGUUUGAAGACUCCUCUUCCAUGCAGCAUUGUGAUCUGGGGUUGUGCUGAAUUAAACUUUCUACCGGAACCUUUCCAAGACAUUUCACAUGGAUUGUCACCAAAUUGACGCCGCUGAUGCAGUGGUAGUUGUGCAUAUAAAAUCUGUUGGUCUUCUCUGUGGAUUGAUCUACUCAUAGGCGUGGAACAUCUAUUUGUUAAACUUUUCCCUGUUCAAACAGAACAUUUUCUAGUGCCCUUUUUAAGUUCAUGUACCCAUCUGAAAGGGGAACAUAGCCAGCUUCUACUCAGACCAUCUCGGUGCACGGAACUACCACACAGGUAGUUUCACUAAUGAAUGGAAAAAACAAAACACACCACGAGACUUCUAGCCCAAUAAAGAAUAAUUACUGAGGUGGGCACAGCCAUACCUUUGGGCUUAUUUUUCCCCAGUUAUCAGAACACCAAAGUCUAAAGAUAGCAUAGUCACAAGAAUAAAUAUUUGUGGUUAUCUUUCAAGCUACGACAUUAUAGCCAGAGUAUAGUGGAUGGAUUUUAAGGAAAUAAUCUGGACGUUUUAGGGUAUGUUAGGCUGGUUUUCCUCCUCCUCCAGACACACACAGGCCACCCAAUAAUACAUUCUUGUAGCUUCUGAGAUAUUUACUAUGUUCUUGCCAUUAGCACAUGCUUCUCUUAAGGAUUGUUGACUUCAGAUCCAAGGCAGCUCUGAAAUAACUAUGCAUCUUUGUGCCAGGCAUCUGUUUGCCUCCAUAUUUGCUUCCUGCCUCACCCUUCUCUACUCAGUGUCCAAGAUGUCUAACUCCUGUAAAUGACAUUUCCUCUGACAUGGGGCUUCCAGCUGUUUUGUCUGUUGGGAGGCACUGGAAGGGGACUGAGGAAGAGAUGUCAGGGGAGAAGCCAAUGUAGUUUUUCACUGUCUGUCUCUUCCUCGGGUUGGGGCUAGUCCAUAACUGGUCUUCAGCUCCUUCAGACUC
ensembl:lncRNA